AGCAAAAUGAUGAGUUUGUUUUUUUUCCUUAAUCUGAAUUCUGAUGUGAAAUGCGUUAUCGUGGUCUUCAAAGUUCUCUGAUUGCU